rnacentral:rRNA from 1 species
UACGGAGGGUGCGAGCGUUGUCCGGAAUCACUGGGCGUAAAGGGUGCGUAGGCGGGCUUGUAAGUCAGUGGUGAAAGCCCGGAGCUUAACUCCGGAACUGCCAUUGAUACUGCAAGUCUUGAGUACACUUGAGGUGGGCGGAAUACAUCAUGUAGUGGUGAAAUACUUAGAUAUGAUGUAGAACACCGAUUGCGAAGGCAGCUCACUAAAUUGUAACUGACGCUGAGGCACGAAAGCGUGGGGAUCAAACAGG